UGAGGAAUAUUGGUCAAUGGACGCAAGUCUGAACCAGCCAAGUAGCGUGCAGGAUGACGGCCCUAUGGGUUGUAAACUGCUUUUAUGCGGGGAUAAAGUGAGGGACGUGUCCCUUUUGUAGGUACCGCAUGAAUAAGGACCGGCUAAUUCCGUGCCAGCAGCCGCGGUAAUACGGAAGGUCCGGGCGUUAUCCGGAUUUAUUGGGUUUAAAGGGAGCGUAGGCCGUCGUUUAAGCGUGUUGUGAAAUGCCGCGGCUCAACCGUGGCACUGCAGCGCG
rnacentral:rRNA from 1 species